GACGAACGCUGGCGGCGUGCUUAACACAUGCAAGUCGAACGGAAAGGCCCAGCUUGCUGGGUACUCGAGUGGCGAACGGGUGAGUAACACGUGGGUGAUCUGCCCUGGACUCUGGGAUAAGCCUGGGAAACUGGGUCUAAUACCGGAUAUGACCUUACAUCGCAUGGUGUUUGGUGGAAAGCUUUUGCGGUUCAGGAUGGGCCCGCGGCCUAUCAGCUUGUUGGUGGGGUAAUGGCCUACCAAGGCGACGACGGGUAGCCGACCUGAGAGGGUGAUCGGCCACACUGGGACUGAGACACGGCCCAGACUCCUACGGGAGGCAGCAGUGGGGAAUAUUGCACAAUGGGCGCAAGCCUGGUGCAGCGACGCCGCGUGAGGGAUGACGGCCUUCGGGUUGUAAACCUCUUUCACCAGGGACGAAGCGUGAGUGACGGUACCUGGAGAAGAAGCACCGGCCAACUACGUG
rnacentral:rRNA from 1 species